rnacentral:rRNA from 1 species
CAGCAGUCAGGCGGCGAGUGAUAAAAUCCGUCGUCAAGAGGGAAACAACCCAGACUACCAGCUAAGGUCCCUAAAUCUUACUUAAGUGGAAAACGAUGUGAAGUUACUUAAACAACCAGGAGGUUGGCUUAGAAGCAGCCAUCCUUUAAAGAAAGCGUAAUAGCUCACUGGUCUAGUGAUUUUGCGCGGAAAAUAUAACGGGGCUAAAGUAAGUACCGAAGCUGUAGACUUAGUUUACUAAGUGGUAGGAGAGCGUUCUAUUUGCGUCGAAGGUAUACCGGUAAGGAGUGCUGGAGCGAAUAGAAGUGAGCAUGCAGGCAUGAGUAGCGAUAAUUAAUGUGAGAAUCAUUAACGCCGUAAACCCAAGGUUUCCUACGCGAUGCUCGUCAUCGUAGGGUUAGUCGGGUCCUAAGUCGAGUCCGAAAGGGGUAGACGAUGGCAAAUUGGUUAAUAUUCCAAUACCAACAUUAGUGUGCGAUGGAAGGACGCUUAGGGCUAAGGGGGCUAGCGGAUGGAAGUGCUAGUCUAAGGUCGUAGGAGGUUGUACAGGCAAAUCCGUAUAACAAUACUCCGAGAACUGAAAGGCUUUUUGAAGUCUUCGGAUGGAUAGAAGAACCCCUGAUGCUGUCGAGCCAAGAAAAGUUUCUAAGUUUAGCUAAUGUUGCCCGUACCGUAAACCGACACAGGUGGGUGGGAUGAGUAUUCUAAGGCGCGUGGAAGAACUCUCUUUAAGGAACUCUGCAAAAUAGCACCGUAUCUUCGGUAUAAGGUGUGGUUAGCUUUGUAUUAGGAUUUACUCCGAAAGCAAGGAAACUUACAACAAAGAGUCCCUCCCGACUGUUUACCAAAAACACAGCACUCUGCUAACUCGUAAGAGGAUGUAUAGGGUGUGACGCCUGCCCGGUGCUCGAAGGUUAAUUGAUGGGGUUAGCAUUAGCGAAGCUCUUGAUCGAAGCCCGAGUAAACGGCGGCCGUAACUAUAACGGUCCUAAGGUAGCGAAAUUCCUUGUCGGUUAAAUACCGACCUGCAUGAAUGGCGUAACGAGAUGGGAGCUGUCUCAAAGAGGGAUCCAGUGAAAUUGUAGUGGAGGUGAAAAUUCCUCCUACCCGCGGCAAGACGGAAAGACCCCGUGGACCUUUACUACAGCUUGACACUGCUACUUGGAUAAGAAUGUGCAGGAUAGGUGGGAGGCUUUGAGUAUAUGACGCCAGUUGUAUAUGAGCCAUUGUUGAGAUACCACUCUUUCUUAUUUGGGUAGCUAACCAGCUUGAGUUAUCCUCAAGUGGGACAAUGUCUGGUGGGUAGUUUGACUGGGGCGGUCGCCUCCCAAAUAAUAACGGAGGCUUACAAAGGUUGGCUCAGAACGGUUGGAAAUCGUUCGUAGAGUAUAAAGGUAUAAGCCAGCUUAACUGCAAGACAUACAAGUCAAGCAGAGACGAAAGUCGGUCUUAGUGAUCCGGUGGUUCUGUGUGGAAGGGCCAUCGCUCAAAGGAUAAAAGGUACCCCGGGGAUAACAGGCUGAUCUCCCCCAAGAGCUCACAUCGACGGGGAGGUUUGGCACCUCGAUGUCGGCUCAUCGCAUCCUGGGGCUGGAGCAGGUCCCAAGGGUAUGGCUGUUCGCCAUUUAAAGCGGUACGCGAGCUGGGUUCAGAACGUCGUGAGACAGUUCGGUCCCUAUCUGCCGUGGGCGUAAGAAGAUUGAAGAGAUUUGACCCUAGUACGAGAGGACCGGGUUGAACAAACCACUGGUGUAGCUGUUGUUCUGCCAAGAGCAUCGCAGCGUAGCUAAGUUUGGAAAGGAUAAACGCUGAAAGCAUCUAAGCGUGAAGCCAACUCUAAGAUGAAUCUUCUCUAAGCUCUCUAGAAGACUACUAGUUUGAUAGGCUGGGUGUGUAAUGGAUGAAAGUCCUUUAGCUGACCAGUACUAAUAGAGCGUUUGGCUUAUCUUUAAUAAAGCAU